AUACCUUUCUCGGCCUCUGGCUAAGAUCAAGUGUAAUCUGUUCUUAUCAGUUUAAUAUCUGAUAUGUGGGCCCCUGUGCCCAUGAUACUGAACUAAUCUUUUGUGGGGGAGGUCUCCCAGUGGCUUGCCGCUGGGUCCUCAAGCGUUGCCUUAGCUUUGCACUACAGCUUCGGCCCGACGCACCCCAA